GACGAACGCUGGCGGCGUGCCUAACACAUGCAAGUCGAGCGGAGAUAUUAGCAAUAGUAUCUUAGCGGCGGACGGGUGAGUAACGCGUGGGCAACCUGCCUUCUACAGGGGGAUAACACAGGGAAACUCGUGCUAAUACCGCAUAACAUAUUGGGGGGACAUCCCCUUAAUAUCAAAGGAGUAAUCCGGUAGAAGAUGGGCCCGCGUCCGAUUAGCUAGUUGGUGGUGUAACGGACCACCAAGGCGACGAUCGGUAGCCGAACUGAGAGGUUGAUCGGCCACAUUGGGACUGAGACACGGCCCAGACGCCUACGGGAGGCAGCAGUGGGGAAUAUUGCGCAAUGGGGGAAACCCUGACGCAGCAACGCCGCGUGAAGGAUGAAGGUCUUCGGAUUGUAAACUUCUUUAGUCGGGGACGAAGAAUGACGGUACCCGAAGAAUAAGCCACGGCUAACUACGUGCCAGCCGCCGCAGUAACAC
rnacentral:rRNA from 1 species